rnacentral:rRNA from 1 species
AUUGAACGCUGGCGGCAGGCCUAACACAUGCAAGUCGAACGGUAACAGGAAACAGCUUGCUGUUUCGCUGACGAGUGGCGGACGGGUGAGUAAUGUCUGGGAAACUGCCUGAUGGAGGGGGAUAACUACUGGAAACGGUAGCUAAUACCGCAUAACGUCGCAAGACCAAAGAGGGGGACCUUCGGGCCUCUUGCCAUCGGAUGUGCCCAGAUGGGGAUUAGCUAGUAGGUGGGGUAACGGCUCACCUAGGCGACGAUCCCUAGCUGGUCUGAGAGGAUGACCAGCCACCCUGGAACUGAGACACGGUCCAGACUCCUACGGGAGGCAGCAGUGGGGAAUAGUGCACAAUGGGCGCAAGCCUGAUGCAGCCAUGCCGCGUGUAUGAAGAAGGCCUUCGGGUUGUAAAGUACUUUCAGCGGGGAGGAAGGGAGUAAAGUCAAUACCUUUGCUCAUUGACGUUACCCGCAGAAGAAGCACCGGCUAACUCCGUGCCAGCCGCCGCCGUAA